CCUCCGUCCCAGGCCAAUAGGCCCAGUUGUUUUCGGCACGGAGAUUAAGAAAGUCACUUUUUGAUAAGUAAAUUGUGUGGUCCACCAACUAUUAAUGUCUUAAGUGUUCUUUUAUUUCCUUAAUCACAUUUGUUCACUUAAACGAAUUCAGCAACAAUCAAAUGCAGCAACAAUCAAGAACAAAAAUUCGUUGAGAAAGAGAACAAAAAUUCCAUUAUUUCAGCAACAAACGAAUUCAGCAACAAUCAAGAACAAAAAUUCCACUAUUUCAUUCUUCAACUUUCAGAACUAAGAAUAAAGAACCCUAAAUCAAGAAUCUAAAUCAAGAUCUGCAAAUGAAGAACCCUAAAUCAAGAACUGAGAGGCGGCGGCGGAGACGGAGAACGGCGGCGGUGGGGGCUCCCAACCGUCCACCGACAAAGGAGAGGCGACGGCGGCACAGCAGGGGCUGUAGUCUUGAGGCGGCGGCGGAUCUGUGUGGCCGGAGCUCUGGAGAGUCAGCGGCGCCGCUCGUCGUUGAGAGAGAGAGAUGGGGGAGGGGGCGGCGGUGACGGAAAUGGCGAAGGGGAAGGGGAAUUGACGGAAAGGGGAAAUGGAAGGUUGACCGUCGAGAAGAGAGGGGCUUCGAACCGUCCACCGACGAAGGAGAGACGGCGGCGGCACAGCAGGGGCUGUAGUCUUGAGGCGGCGCCGGUAACGAAGGUCUCCGACACGUCUACAGCACCGACACGUCUUCUUCCACUUCGUCUUCAGAUCUGCAAAUCAAAAACCCUAGGUUGAUUUUGAUUUUGAUUUUAGAUCUAGGGGAAGAAGUUGAGAAGAAAGGAGGGAGAAGAAGAUACGCCAGCCUCGCCGCGCCGGAGGCGGCGAGAGCCGGCGACAUUCGCCGGAGAGCAACAGAGAGUGAGACUGUGAGAGACGCAGAGAGAGGGAAUGAAAGAAGGGAGAGAGCAGAGAUGAAGAAGAAAAGAAAAGUGGGCACGCAGAGAGAGGGAAUGAAAUUAGGGUGUAUAUCCUCUUUAAUUAAGUAGCUAAUUAUUUUAAUUACAACCCUAAUUAUUUCCAUUUUAAGACUGAGCCUAUUGGGCUGGGACGUCCCGAAAAGGAAAACGAGCCUAUUGGGCUGGGACGGAGGG
rnacentral:lncRNA from 1 species